AGGGAUGGGAAAGAAAUGAUGGGGAAGGCACCCUGCAGUCUGAGACCCAGACCCAGGAGCAGCACAUCGCUUGUCCUUAGGCUCCAAAGGCGAGUCACAGUCACAUGGCCAUACUUAACCUCCGGGGAGGGUGAUAAAUACAGUCCAUCUGGACAGUCAUGUGCCCCAUUACAACCCUGUUACCGUGGGAGAAGGGGAGAAUGGGUUUUGGUAGACAAAAUCCACCACACAUUCCCUCACUUUCCUUUGUGGUUUUACCACCUUGGUGUGCACCUCUCAACAAUAUCUUUCAGUAAAUAAAACAAAAACUAAAUGGCAAGCAAAUACUUAGCUGUGUAAGGAAAGGGCACUAUUACCACUAUCUGAUUGAAGGUUUCCAGGAAAACAAACUAAAUAGAGGUUCUACAUCAUAGUCUGGCUUCAGCUUCCUAAGUUGUUUACAGGAGCCCCUUCUGGUAAGAUCAGUGGGCCACUGCAAAAAAGAGUUCACAAGCAGGCCCAAGACUGCUCUCCUUAGAAAGGUCUGCUUGCAAGGUUGGACCUUGGCUGCCAUCUGGGAACCUGGAUUUCAAGAGGGCUCCUGCUGUUCUCUAAAUGAUAAGAGUGACGCUUUGUGCAUAAACUGUGCAGACAAUAUGGUUAAUGUUGAGACCGGCUUUCCUUCUGGGACUCUGGAAGUUUGGUACGUGCUAAGCAGUGGGUACCUAUGUGACGAGCCUCCAGUAAAAACCCUGGGUGCUAAGUCUCUAAGGAGCUUCCCUGGUUGACACACUUCACAUGCGUUGUCAUGAAUUCAAUGCUGGAGGAAUUAAGCAUGUCCUGUGUGACUCCAAUGGGAGAGGACUCCUGGCUCACGCCUGGUUUCCUCUAGAUUUUGCCCAUCACCUUUUUCCUUUGCUGAUUUUGCUUUGUGUCCUUUUGCUGUAAUAAAGCAAAGCUGUGAGUACAACUACAUGCUGAGUUCGGUGAGUCCUCCCAGCGGGUCACCGAACCUGGGAGUGGCCUUGGGCAACCUUACACAGCAAGUUCAUGAAAGUAUGCUGGGAAACAUAUGAGUCAGCACAGGUGGAGCACCUGGCUGGACUACAGUGUGGGUCAGGUUCAGCAUGUCUCUCAGGAAUAGUGUCAAGAUGAGGGGGAGUUCCUGUAUUUUCUGCUGCUUAGUUCAGGAGUAGGGCAGAGCAGAAUAUUUCUAUGGAAUGAAAUGAAUGCUCUCAGUUAAUUCAGGUGGCAGGGGCUAGAAGGGAGGGCAAGAAAUUCAUUACGUACAAAAUGAUAACACAAAGGACAGGGUGGUAGCUACCUCAGGGAGAGGAACACAGGGAACUUCUAAGAUCUGGUAACGUUCUGUUUCCUAACCUGAGUGAUGAGUCCACUGGUAGUGAUUUUAUUCUUAUUCUUUUAAUCAUACGUAUAUAUUUUACAUACACUCUUUUAUAUGUAAAUAUGUGUGUAUGAAUCAUUUUUAAAAAAGUUAAAAAUACAGUAAUAAUGAAAUAGUAUUUGACCCUUCCAUAUUGGCAAACAUUAAAAAGUUUGAUAAUAUGCAACACUGGAGAGUGCAUGGCAAAACUAGCAUCUUCAUAAGUUUCAAUAGGAAUGUAAGUUGAUGUAAACUUGCUGAAGUAUAAUUUUACCUUAUCUAUGGAAAAUGUACAUGCACAGAGCAAAUCAACAAGAAAAAGACAACCCAGUUUCUAAAAUGGGCAAAAGACUGGAACAGACACUUCACAAAAGAUAACAUUCAAAUGGCCAAUAAUCAUAUGGAAAGGUGCUCAAUGUCAUCACUCAUCAGAGAAACACAAAAUUAAAGCACAAUAGUACUCUUGCACUCCCACCAGAAUGGCUAAAAUUAAAAGUACUGAAAAACCAAGUGUUGGUGAGGAAAUGGAGCAGCUGAAAAUGUAAACUGGUACAGCCACUUUGGAAAAUGGUUUUGCAGGAUCUAAAACUAAGCACAAAUACAAGCUAAAACACAUAUACCCUAUGACCCAGCAAUUCCACUCUUGGGUCUAUAUCUAACUGAAAUACAUACUAUGUUCAUCAAAAAAUAUAUACAAAAAUGUUCCUAAUAGCUUUACUUGUAAUAGCCAAAAACUGGAAACAACCCAAAUGUCUAUCAGCAGUAGAAUGGUUAAAUAGAUUGUGGUAUAUUCAUACAUUUCUGUGGAACACUACAUAGCAAUGAAAAAUAACUACUGCUACACACAACAACAUGGAUGAAUCCCACAGGCAUAAUGUUGAAUGGAAGUAGCCAGACACAAGAGUACCUAAUGUGUAAUUCCAUUUAUAUGAAGUUCGAAAACAGACAGAACUAAUCAGCGGCAUCAGACUAGUGGUUAUCUUUGAAGGAGAUAAUGAUUGAGAGAGGACGUACGGAGUCUUCUCGGGUGCUGGAAAUUCUAUAUUUUUAUCUGUGUGCGUACAUAUAUAAAAUUGUAUCAAUCUCUACACUCAGGAUUUUCAUACUUUAUAUGUUACACCUCAAUAAAAAAGGAGAAAAUCCAAUUAUCUAAUAAAAGUUAAAUGAAGUGUGAUGCCCAUAGCCCUACUAAAGUCAAGACAAGAAUGGCCAUUGUCUCUGCUACCGUUUAACAUAGUACUGAAGGUAUUAACUAAAGCAAUCAGAUAAGAGGAAGAAAUUAGAUGUAUAAAUAUUAGAAAAGAGGAAGUGAAACUCUUCCUACUUGUUGAUGAUAUGAUCAAACACUUAGAAAACCCGAGAGAAUCAACCUAAAAAAACUGCUGAGAAUUCAGUGAAGCGAUAGGGUCUAACGUUAUCUACAGAAAUCAGAAGCCUUCAUGCACAUGAAUGCACAAACAGCAUUACAGUGAACAUCCUCAUGUGUGCGGCUCACGUGUUCUUCAUUUGACUGAAACCACC
rnacentral:lncRNA from 1 species